rnacentral:tRNA from 1 species
UAUAUUAAGGUGUAAGAUGCACAUUAAUUUUUGAAAUUAAUGGAGAUAGUUUAAUUCUAUCUAUUAUAA